ensembl:lncRNA
AUGAGGACGAUGAUGAUGAUUAUCAUGAGGGAUCCAUUUGUUCACUGUGUGCCCACUGUGAGCAUUGUGAUAGCUGUGAUAAGUGCCCAUGCAAAAAAGGAGACGACUCUGAACACUGUGACUUCUGUGAUGACUGUGGAAAGUGCUACAUGUGUCCUGUCUGUGAGACCGUCUGCAAGCCAGGUGGCUUUGUUGACUCUGUUUCUGGAUCCAUCUAUAAGACUGUCGCAGACGUCUUGGAUGGCGACGAUGACGAUGAUGACGACAACUAAACCCAUUCGUCACCAGCACGUGGCCAAAAGAGGAACGUGCAGUUGGGCGUUGUGUUUCACAGAUUUCAGGAUUUACAUUGUAGCGAUUUGUUUAUUGUCGUUAAGUUAUUUUUCUCUUUUGUGCUACCACAUCACACGCUACAGUUUGGUCAAUAAAUACAUAUACGUGGAAUUAAAUUAAAUGUAUUUAACUGAACAACAUAUACCUUUUAAAUAGUCUUGUUAUUAACAUCAGUUAUGAUAUGAAAUGUUAUUGCAAAAGCUAAUUGUGUUGUUUUGAUGGAAUACUUAUGGAAUAAAAUGAGGGAACGUUUUAUUUAUGUGUUUAAGUAGUAGUACUUAAAAAUACUUUCAAAAACAUACAUUAUAUCAUAGUAUAAUUGUCCUUAUUGGUUGUAAUGUUUUUCAUUUUGCUGUCAGUUUUACUGCUGACGAAACAUGAUUUCCAAACAUGAUUUAUGAUAUGAAAGAUGGGCUUAAAGGGAUGUUUAUCUAAAAAAAAACUGUGUCAUGACUUUCUCACCAUCAUAUUGUUUCAGUGUCAUAUGAUUUUCUUUCUUCAGCAGAAAACAAAGGGGAAAGUUCUGAACUAGCAGGAGCCAGCCUUUUGAUAUUUGAUGUCCAAUAGUAAAAGUGUGCCAAUAAGAACCUAACUAGCACAUUAAAUAGUCAUACUACUUAAUAUAUUGCUCCCUGCAUGUAGCAUGAUUGGUCAAUAAUACUCAAUAACUGUUUUCUCACAAAUGUGACCAUGCAGCUCAUUGCCAUUCUCUAUCCUACAACUUACGACAGUAAGCAAAGCUGGGUAGUAAAGUGGCCUUUGAGGAAUAACUUAAUUAUUAAGCAUCCAUUUGAUAAAAGACUUGAACAGGUAAACGACACAAAGCAUGGGAGGAUAAAUAAAAAAGAGACUAAAUAUGUUCAUAUGUAUAUGCUAAAUAUGACUUAAUUUGUAUAUGCUAAUUAGUCCAUAGAAAUCAUUUUUAAAGGGAUACUCCACCCAUAAAUGAAGAUUUUGUCAUUAAUCACUUUCCCACAUGUCGUUCCAAACCCAUAAAAGAUUUGUUCAUCUUGGAACACAAUUUAAGAUAUUCUGGAUGAAAACCGGGAUGCUUGUGACUGUCCCAUACUGCCAAAUAAAUAACAGUGUGAAGGUCCAGGAAAGUAUGAAAAGCAUCGUCAGAAUAGUCCAUCUGCCAUCAGCGGUUCAACCGUAACGUUAUGAAGAGAUGUGAAUACUUUUUGUAAGCAAAUAAAACAAAAAUAAUGACUUUAUUCAACAAUCCUUUGCCAACAGCCUAUGCUCUUCAUUGUCAGCAGCGCCACAAGGAUGCACUGUUUCUGUGUGUAUUUAGCUUUGAUUUGAAAGAAGCUUUUACGAGUUUGGAACAUAGAAUGUAUAAAAAAAUGGACGUAGUGUCCGUGACGUCACCCAAAGACUCCCUGAAGUGUGUUUUUGAAGCCUAAAGUGUGCAAAAGGGUCUGGCUGGCAGCGCGUCACCGCGGGACUCUCCCGGACAAUCAAAAAUGGGCAAAAAGGCGGGAGCUACUUGCUGAAGCCACGCCCACCUAGCGCGACAGCGGUGACAGCAGCGGCAAAUCCACCUGUCACCUGUUUGCACCAGGCUGUAGACGUUUUUUUCUGCUGUAAAGUUGGGAAUUUUAACAUGGGGAUCUAUGGGACUGACCCCCUUUUGCAGCCAGCCAAUCGGACGGUAAUUGUUUCUCAGGGGGAUGUAAGUGAUUUUCAACAUUUAAAGGGGGUAGUCUAGUCGGUGAUUUAAUUGCCGUCAGAUUCCAGGAUGUCGAGUAGUCGGUGUUUUUCUCUCACCUCCUCCGUAAAAAUCCAAUGACCAACUGACAGAAGGAACGAGCUUUUAUUCUGAAAUUUAAGACGAACCAGGAAGUGGAGCAAAAAAAAAAGGUCCUUUCCGGUUCAGCAACAUAAGAGGUAAACAUCAACUCCUGUGCUUAUUCCCGCACGCUCAAACUUACUAUUAAUCUAUUAUAUAACAAAUUGCGUUUGAUCUAUGUGUAGCUACCGGCUUAUUGUUGUAAUGUGUGACAUCUGUUAUGGUUUGUCUCGCUAGUCCACCAAGCAAUUAUCCAGCAACGUGUAGUUAUGUGAAACUUUGUGCAAAAUCUGUUCACCAAAAAUACCGUAAAAACA